AAUUCAAACUUACAAGAAAUAUCUACAAAAGUAUUGUGACCACGCUUUCUUUAAUAUCAAGGUUAGCAUAGCAAUUGCAUGCACAAUUACACGAGAUUUCCUCAAAAUAAAUAAAUAAUGUUAAGAAAUUCUACAUCGGAUGUGAGUUAGUCUGGAUAAAGGUUUAUAAGUAAGAGGCAAUCCUCACCUUACAAGCCGGUUUUUUAGGAAUGAGUUAGGCCCAACACCCGAUUAUAAGAAAUAAUAACAUAAAUAAUAAGGGAUAGAAGAUUUACCUGGAAACCAAGAGGGCCCUGCGAUACUUAUGAAGCUAAAAAAAGGCAAAAGUUGUCAGAACCAUCAAGAACAAAGCACAUAAGCCAGAAACCUUCAUGAUAUCAAAAAUCCUCAAAGUGGGUCAAACAAGUUGCAAUAUCAAUAUGACCCUUUUACCUAAACAAGAAACUGAAGAGAAGAAAAAAAGAAAGAAACCAGCUUCUUGAAGCAAAAAAGCACUUAUGGUAUGGUUAUGUGUUUAGUUGCAUAUUUUUGUGUAAAUACAAAACCAGCAUUCAUUGCUAGCAUUCACAAAAUUCCAAUAUAAUAUUGCAUGAGCCUGUUAUGCAUGCAUGCAUGCAUGCAGGAGUCUCAAUAAAUGCAAAGUUACCUCAGCUUUCAAUGUCUGUAGUACAGAGACGGAAGCAUCUGCCUUAUUGAUGAGCCUGUUAUGCAUACAGGAGUUUAAAUAAAUGCGCAUCAACAAUCCUGUUCUCUCCAUUGUAUUCACAGAACUCGCUACUUCGAUUCUUCCCCUGAAAACGGCGAACAAAUUCGUGCAUAUUCAUUGUCAACUUCCUGUAAGCGGCGAGUGUUGUCGGUGGAAGAUGAUGUGGGAUAGUAAAGUUGCAAUUACUAGACUAGAUGAGUAAAAGAUGCAUUGGUAAAAGUUUUGAAAGCAAAGAUGCAUGGAUAAAACAAAUUUAUCUCAUGUUACCUUUCUUUGUUUCAAGUAAAAUAUAAAUUAAAAAAAAAAAUAAUGCUAUUAGUAAAGAAUUUUAUGUGACAACAUUUAACACUUAGUAUAAACUAGUCACCAUGCCCGUGCGUUCACACGAGUCAAUAAUUGUAAAUCAAUUAUAUUAUAUCUCUUUUAGCUACAAAGUCAUAUCCAACACACAAUUUUUCUAAUUUGAAUUUCAUAGGAG
rnacentral:lncRNA from 1 species